rnacentral:rRNA from 1 species
UGAGGAACAUGACCUUCGGCGGGGGAGUAGCCGGCCCAACGGCCGGGUAAUACCGCAUACGUUCUUUUUGGGGUCGAUCCCGAAAACGAAAGAAACCUCCGGGGCGGAAUCGAGGGACUCGCGGCCUAUCAGCUAGUUGGCGAGGUAACGGCUCACCAAGGCUACGACGGGUAGCUGGUCUGAGAGGAUGGCCAGCCACAUUGGGACUGAGAAACGGCCCAGACUCCUACGGGAGGCAG